rnacentral:tRNA from 1 species
GGUAGAGUGGCCGAGCGUUAGGCGGCGGUUUGUAGCACCGUGUAUAGAGGUUUAAGUCCUUUCUUUAUCA